CCUUAGAGUUUGAUCCUGGCUCAGAACGAACGCUGGCGGCGUGCUUAACACAUGCAAGUCGAACGUGAUCCGGAGCUUGCUCCGGUGAAAGUGGCGCACGGGUGAGUAACGCGUGGAUAAUCUGCCCUGGUAUCUGGGAUAACAUCUCGAAAGGGGUGCUAAUACCGGAUAAGCCUACGGGAUCCUCGGAUUCUGCAGGAAAAGGUGGCCUCUAUUUAUAAGCUACCGUACCAGGAUGAG
rnacentral:rRNA from 1 species